AUUGAACGCUGGCGGCAUGCUUUACACAUGCAAGUCGAACGGUAACAGGCCGCAAGGUGCUGACGAGUGGCGAACGGGUGAGUAAUGCAUCGGAACGUGCCCAGUCGUGGGGGAUAACGCAGCGAAAGCUGCGCUAAUACCGCAUACGAUCUAUGGAUGAAAGCGGGGGACCUGUAAGGGCCUCGCGCGAUUGGAGCGGCCGAUGUCAGAUUAGGUAGUUGGUGGGGUAAAGGCUCACCAAGCCGACGAUCGGUAGCUGGUCUGAGAGGACGACCAGCCACACUGGGACUGAGGCACGGCCCAGACUCCUACGGGAGGCAGCAGUGGGGAAUUUUGGACAAUGGGCGCAAGCCUGAUCCAGCAAUGCCGCGUGCAGGAAGAAGGCCUUCGGGUUGUAAACUGCUUUUGUACGGAACGAAACGGCUCUGGUUAAUACCUGGGGCUAAUGACGGUACCGUAAGAAUAAGCACCGGCUAACUACGUGCCAGCCGCCGCUGUAACAC
rnacentral:rRNA from 1 species